rnacentral:rRNA from 1 species
AGAUUGAACGCUGGCGGCAGGCCUAACACAUGCAAGUCGAGCGGUAGAGAGGUGCUUGCACCUCUUGAGAGCGGCGGACGGGUGAGUAAUGCCUAGGAAUCUGCCUAGUGGUGGGGGAUAACGUUCGGAAACGGACGCUAAUACCGCAUACGUCCUACGGGAGAAAGCGGGGGACCUUCGGGCCUCGCGCCAUUAGAUGAGCCUAGGUCGAUUAGCUAGUUGGUGAGGUAAUGGCUCACCAAGGCGACGAUCCGUAACUGGUCUGAGAGGAUGAUCAGUCACACUGGAACUGAGACACGGUCCAGACUCUACGGGAGCAGCAGUGGGGAAUAGUUGGACAAUGGGCGAAAGCCUGAUCCAGCCAUGCCGCGUGUGUGAAGAGGUCUUCGUAUUGUAAAGCUAACUUUAAGUUGGAGGUAAGGUUGUAACUUAAGUACGUU